rnacentral:rRNA from 1 species
UACGUAGGGAGCAAGCGUUGUCCGGAAUCAUUGGGCGUAAAGCGCGCGUAGGUGGCCUCAUAAGUCCGCUGUGAAAGUCAAAGGCUCAACCUUUGAAAGCCGGUGGAUACUGUGAGGCUAGAGUACGGAAGAGGCGAGUGGAAUUCCUGGUGUAGCGGUGGAAUGCGCAGAUAUCAGGAGGAACACCAAUAGCGAAGGCAGCUCGCUGGGACGGUACUGACGCUGAGACGCGAAAGCGUGGGGAGCAAACAGG